AUUGAACGCUGGCGGCAGGCCUAACACAUGCAAGUCGAACGAGCGGCGGACGGGUGAGUAAUGUCUGGGAAACUGCCUGAUGGAGGGGGAUAACUACUGGAAACGGUAGCUAAUACCGCAUACCAUCAGAUGUGCCCAGAUGGGAUUAGCUAGUAGGUGGGGUAAUGGCUCACCUAGGCGACGAUCCCUAGCUGGGCUGAGAGGAUGACCAGCAAAACUGGACAUGAGAAACGGCCACGACUCCUACGGUAGGCGGCAGUGGGGAAUAUUGCACAAUGGGGGAAAGCCUAAUGCAGCAAUGCGGGGUGUAUGAAGAAGGCCGUCGGGUUGUAAAGUACUUUCAGCGGGGAGGCGUUACCCGCAGAAGAAGCACCGGCUAACUACGUGCCAGCAGCCGCGGUAAUAC
rnacentral:rRNA from 1 species